GGUGGGGAGUGAGGGGCAGCAGGAACACAGAGCUGAAGGGAGAGGACACGUUCCCAAGCGCCUCUCUUCCCUCCCCCCAGCCAGUCCAAGGGGCUGCAUCUGGGACACACGCGGGAGCGUGAUCGGAUUGGACACGACUUGGGCUGCUCUGCGUGUCAUGUGCGCUAUUUUUCCCACCCAAACAGAUCGUGAAGCCGUUGCCAAGGGAUGGGUGGAGAAGCUUGACGGGCUGCUACGGGAUGCCUGUGCGGACGGUGCAGAUCAUCGGGCCACCGUCUGUCCGCCUACGAUGGGCAGCGUGACGAAAGCUAUUCAGUCACAGCCACAGUGAAAUGAAGUAUGGGUCCCGAGGUUGGCUCGCAGGCAGAGUUUUAAAUCCAAAUUAACUUCUCCGAGACCAAGGACAGCACCGAUGUCACACAGCAAGCAGUAGGACUGAAAGACUAGCCUUGGCCUAAUGGGAAGAGGACCAGGGAGACACCACGGGCCCCCUAGGUGAGAGAGUGGGAUCUGCAGUGCAACACUUAAGGGAUAUUACUGUCACUCCAGAGAGAAGUGGAGCUGGAGAAAAGGUUCAGGAGCCCCUUUUCUCAGGGUUGUACCCAGGAAACAGUGAGAUAAAGCAGGCCAGAUAAGCGCCCAUGAGCAGAAGCGAAAGCUAGGUGGCGCACGCCUAUAAUCUCAGCACUUGGGAAGCUGAGGCAGGAGAACCUCUACAAACUGGAGGCCAGUCUGGGUCACGUGGUGAGUUCAAGGUCAGUCUGAAUAACAUAGCUGGAAAUUCUACCAAACACACACGCGUGCGCGCACACACACAGAGCAAAGGCUAAUCCAGGAUCUAUUUGCCCCUUGUAGAUUUUGGGCUCCUCCUAGGUUUGGAGAGGGAGAGGACAGUGGGGCAAGGGCCCCUGGUGUAAAUGUAUAUGGGGAAGGGCAAGUCUUCUGGCCACAGCUUUGCAACAUUAGGAUUAUGAAUGGGGAACUAUAGCCUACAGAAUCCCAUUAAAGAUAAGGGAGAAAAUACUUCGUUUUAUGAUACUGUAACAAAACACUUAAGACCAGGAAAUUUAUAAAAAAGUAAAAUUUUGUUGGGCUCACAUUCUGAAGGCUGGGAACUCCAAGAGCAGGGGCCCCCAUCUGCUCAGAGUUUGAUGAGGGCUUUCCUUCUUGCUGCACGAUGGGAAGAGCGUCGUAUGAGGCAGAAGAAGCUUGCUGGUUCUUGGGUCUUCCUUUUACAAUGUCACUAAUGUCAUAAUGGGGUGUUCCUCUUAUGACCUAAUCCUAAUUACCUACCCACAAAUGCCCCAUCUCCAAGUACUAUUAACUUAUGAAUUUGGGUAUUGUAUCUGACACAUGGAUUUUGGGGAAAACUUUCAAAUCAUAGCAGAUACCGAUAGUCUAAUUAUAGAUCUGAGGGGUAGGAUUAUGGAUCCAGAACAGAUCUUUAGUCUGUUUGCACACACACACAAAAUAAAGCCAGUUUCCAUCUAUAAAGCCAUGAGGGAGGACAGAAAAUCAUCACUGUAGGCCCACUUAGGUUGUAACAAUCCAGUAUAGUUUGGAACAGUAGAGAGAAUUAGGAAGCUUUAUUCUUUUCCCCCAUAUCUACUGAUUUUGGUUAUCUAAAAGAAAUAUCUAGUGGUUUCUAUCUCCUAGAAUGUAUUGUCUAGCUACAAAGGAAACAAAACAGAGACAGUUAAGGAGAAGGAACAAUUUCCUAUACUACAGCAACUCCCCCAGACCUUUAUCAUUUGAACAAAGGAAAUACUGGAGGAGGAAUGGCCAGGUAUGGAGGUCAUAGACCAAGUGGCUGUUGCUGUUUAUGUGUUUCACAAAAACUGUUUUUGGUACUCCCUGAAUCCUAUAUAUGUGUGUGUUACUUUGUAUCCCGCAGCAUGGUCAAGGACCCCAGCCUCUUUCUUUGGUUCUCUUAGCAUGGUUGUAUAUACAGGGUCCAUCCAAAUGGUUUACAUCAAGUUAACAUGAGGGGCCCCAGGUAUUGGACCCUGCUCCAGUCCACAGUCUGGCCUGAUGGCAGAAAAUAGGACAUCAUGGGCUUAGGGUUGUGUUCUCUGCUGCAGGAUUCUGUUACUUCUCACCAUUUAGGAACAUUGAGUCUCUAACCACCUUCAAGCCAGGACCUGAGUUCUGAUAAGAACCGGGACAAUAUUUCUGGAGGGCAGUAUAACAGUACUGACCAAAGAAGUCCUUAAUAUAUGCAUUGUUCUUGUGGUUGUUGCUAAAUUGUAGUACAACCAUUCUAUAUAUAUAUAUAUAUAUAAAUAGUCUCAGGAUAUAAAAAUAGAAUGUAGAUUUAACCUACAACACUCAUCAGGGCACUGAUUACAUCAGAUCUGAGAAAUAAAUUAUAGCAUAUGUCUUUAAUAGAAUAAUAUACAGCCAUUAAUAAAAUUUUACAACUCAGCAGGGUGUGGUGGUACAUGCUUGUAAUCCUAGCCCCUUUGGGGGUGGUGAAGCAGGAGGAUUGAAAGUUUGAGGCUAGCCUGGGCAACAUAGACCCUAUCUCAAUAAUAAUCUCAACAAUAAUAAUAAUAAAAAAAAGGGUGUGGAGAUAUAGCUCAGUGGCCGUUUUCCAAUCCUAGUACUGCAGACAUUAAUAAAUAAAAUUGUGUAACUGUGAUAUUGAAAAUUCUUCCUGCUACACUGUGAAGUUAUUUUUAAAAAGUAGGCUAUGAGAGCUAGGCGUGCGGUGCACACCUGUAAUCCUAGCACUUGGGAGGUUGAAGCAGGAGGAUUGUUUCAAGCUUGGGACCAGUCUGGGCUACAAAAUAAGUUCAAGGCCAGCCAGAACUGCAUAGUAAGACCCUGUCUCAAAAAGACCAAAAAGAAAAAGAAAAAAGAAAAGCAGACUAUGAGAACUACAUUAUUAUCAGUUUUUGUUCAAUACACACACACAUUUCUCCUACCUUUUGUCAGUCUUUCCAUCCCAAUUAAUUUAUGGAAUUCCUAAGGAAAACUUAAUGCUUUGCAAGACUCCAACUCCACUCCUAGCUUACACUUUGACCCUCAAUUAAAUCAUAUUGUGGGCUGGGGAUGUGGCGCAGUGGUAGAGUUCUUGCCUGCAUGCACAAGGCCCUGGGUUUGAUCCCCAACACUCACACAAUAAAAAAAUUAUUCUAACCAGUUCAGUCCCGGAAUCUAAAAACAUUGGACCUCCACAGAAUGCCUCAAUGUGGCAUUAAUAAUUCCUAACUGGUGCCCUUGGGGACUCAGGACCAAGGUGAAAUCAUGGCUUUUACUCUCUGUUGUUGCUGGUACCUGCUCCUGCGUCCUUGUGGGAAGCUCUUGGACAGCAGGAACCAAUCAAGUCCAGUGGCAGCAGUGUUUAUAACACAGAUUUUUGUUCAAGGACCCACAUGAAGAACCCAUAACCUUAAAUGGAGAGACUGGAUUUUUAUUGUAACUGAACUUGUAACUGAAAGUCCGCAUUUACCUUAAUCAUAACACGAUAGGAAGCAAACCACAGUAGUAUUAGAGGUAGGAUAUUGUGUUUUAUCACCAAUAAAAAUCACAGAUGCUUACAUUACGAGACAGUUGGGGACUUUGUACAAUGCCAUUUGUGUUCGUCGCUGAUUUAUAGUUAUGGUAAGUAUCAAACCUGCCUUUAAAUUUCUUUAUUUCUUGAUUUUCUUUGGUGGUUUUUGAAAUGGGGUUUUACUUUGCAGUUCAGGCUGGCCUUGAACUCACUGUAAUCCUCUUGCCUCAGCCUCACAAACUCUGGGAUUAUAGGUGUGCUCCAGCAUGCCUGACCUUUAAAUUUUUUAUCUAAUACUUUUAUAAUGAAACAGGUAUACUACUUGAAAGGUUCUUGCCGUAGUAUAAAUUACUGUACAGUUAUGGCCGUGGUCUAACAUAAGGGAAGCCAGUGCCGGAAAUGCUUACCACUUCCUCCUUCUUCAGCCCUAGUUGCAACUCCCUUUCCCUUUCGUGAAGAAAAUUCCAAUCAGUUCCUCACACGUCGUCCAUAUCCGCCCCACGCACCACUUCCGAUCAGAGGUCAUAUGACCCUCUGCCUCUCUAUCCAGCAGAAAGGCAAACGGUUGAGCUCCUUUCCACUCUUUCAAAUAAAAAGGCCUCUUUCACUUUUUCUUA